GUUUUACAGUUGAUCUCUGAACUUCAGGUAAGUUAAUGUGUUGACAAGCG
rnacentral:snoRNA from 1 species